AUGGUGAUUAAUGGCAGCAUGGGAUUUGUAGUCAAUAAGUAGUUGUGAUUGCUAAAUCGGAUCUGACGUUGGACUUCGAAAGGCCAUGUGCUCCACAACAACAGUGCUCGACCGAAAGCUUGUCUGCAGAAGCAGGAAGUCCCCAAAUGGAGGCACUGUUGAAAUCAAGAAGCUGACUCCUCAGAAAUGGAAAAGGGAGAGGAGGAAUCGGGGCUCGAACCCUCAACCUCAGCAUUCAAACCCCAUGUCAAUGCCACCACACCACCAUCAUGUCCGGGUUCUCAGUUGGUAAUUUCCAGUGCUCUACAGAGACAUUAUCAAUCGAAUGAGACUUACAGAUGAAGAGAGUCAAAAGGAGAGAGCUGGGCUCGAACUCUGUACCUCUGUAGCCAGAGGCGGAGACACUACCAUUAAGCCACGGUGGGAUUAACGAGUUUGGCGGUGAUUUUUUGGAUAGAAGAAGAUGAGCCUAGAGGGACAAAAAUAGGGAAGAGCUCUGAAUUAACCGAAUAACUCCGCAUCCAAAGACGACAAUUUUCACGACACAAUUAUCUUUGAUAUGGUUUUGGAGUCUCUGUGGGAGGAGGGGGCAGGGUUCAGGCGGUGGGGGGAAAGGAGAGGGAGGGAAAUUGAACUUACAUCCUUCUGCUUUGUGGAGCGAGGUCCUGUUCCCUGCACCACAGAGCUCAUCAAGGUUUAUACAGACAUAAACAGGAAGAGGUCAGCCUUGAGUCACAGAUCCAGAGCAGGUGCUCUCCCUCUUGAGCAGACAGGCAAGGCCAGACAAGAGAAGUCAUCAUGCGUAUAGCUUUAACACAAACACUUUCAUUAAAAACUCUAAUAUGUGUUUGCUUUCUUUAAAGUGUUUUAAAAUGUAAAACACGUAGAAUUAUGUCCCUAAAACACAAAGAAGAGACUGUGGCGAAAUAUAAACCCACAGCUUAUCGUAUGUAAGCUACUUUGUGAAGCUUUUGUUAUAUGUAAGGAAUGCUUGUGCUGUUGUUAUUUGUGUAUUGAACAAGUGAUUUGAAGUCCCAUCCAAUCAGAUGAUCUAAUUACUGGGGUAAAGGUGUGCCUGCGGGUAAUUGGUUGGUUUAAAAUGAUGCCUUUGAAUGUUUUCCUUCACCGUGAUUAAAAAUGAGAUGCUUAAGCUAGCCGGUACUACAUUUCUGAGAACACUGAUCUCCUCUGCUUUCAUGAAGUGCUGUGGAUGUGUGCUGGGGACAGGGCUUGUAAAUGCACAUUAUUUUUAUUUAAUGAAAGAUAACUCAGUGUAUGUUCUGCAGUUUCAUUAAUCUUUGAAAGAUGUGCUGUCAUUGCUCAAUAAAAAACACACAAUAAGAAGA